GAUCAAGCGCGUUAAGGGCAUUUGGUGGAUGCCUUGGCACUGAGAGGCGAUGAAGGACGUAGCACGUUGCGAUAAGCCACGGGGAGCCGCGAGCAGGCUUUGAUCCGUGGAUUUCCGAAUGGGGAAACCCCACCGUAAGGUGAUCCUUAUCUGAAUACAUAGGGUAAGGAGGCGAACCCGGGGAACUGAAACAUCUCAGUACCUGGAGGAAAGGACAUCAACAGAGACUCCGCUAGUAGUGGCGAGCGAACGCGGACCAGGCCAGUGGUACUUAAUCUUCGAACCAGAACUGUCUGGAAAGGCAGGCCAUAGUGGGUGAUAGCCCCGUAUGGGUAGGAAGGUUUUGUAUCCUUGAGUAGGGCGGGACACGAGAAAUCCUGUCUGAACAUGGGGGGACCACCCUCCAAGCCUAAGUACUCCUCAAUGACCGAUAGUGAACCAGUACCGUGAGGGAAAGGUGAAAAGCACCCCGAUGAGGGGAGUGAAAUAGUACCUGAAACCGAAUGCCUACAAGCAGUGGGAGCCUUUGCGUGGCAACACGUAUGGGGUGACCGCGUACCUCUUGUAUAAUGGGUCAGCGAGUUCGUCUUACGAGCGAGCUUAAGUCGAUAGAUGAAGGCGUAGCGAAAGCGAGUCUUAAUAGGGCGACCAUAGUUCGUAGGAUGAGACCCGAAACCGGGUGAUCUAUCCAUGGGCAGGCUGAAGGUCGGGUAACACCGACUGGAGGGCCGAACUCGUAUCCGUUGAAAAGGAUUGGGAUGACCUGUGGAUAGGGGUGAAAGGCCAAUCAAACUCGGAAAUAGCUGGUUCUCCGCGAAAUCUAUUUAGGUAGAGCGUCGGGAGUUCACCGCCGGGGGUAGAGCACUGGAUGGGCUAGGGGGGAGCGAUCCUUACCAAACCUAACCAAACUCCGAAUACCAGCGGUUUAGAUCCCGACAGACAGACUGUGGGUGCUAAGGUCCAUGGUCGAGAGGGAAAGAGCCCAGACCGCCAGCUAAGGUCCCCAAGUCAUGGCUAAGUGGGAAAGGAUGUGGGAAGGCCAAGACAGCCAGGAGGUUGGCUUAGAAGCAGCCAUCCUUUAAAGAAAGCGUAAUAGCUCACUGGUCUAGUUAAGCCGUCCUGCGCCGAAAAUGUAACGGGGCUAAAGCCAUGCACCGAAGCUGCGGGUGUGAUCAGGGUAGCGUCCCUGUUCACGCAGUAGCGGAGCGUUCCGCAAAUCUGUGAAGGUGUGGCGUGAGCCAUGCUGGAGAUAACGGAAGCGAGAAUGCUGACAUGAGUAGCGAUAAACAGUGUGAGAGACACUGUCGCCGUAAGUCCAAGGGUUCCUGCGCAAGGUUAAUCCGCGCAGGGUGAGCCGGCCCCUAAGGCGAGGCCGAAAGGCGUAGUCGAUGGGAACCUGGUUAAUAUUCCAGGGCCUGUUGGAAGUGACGAAUGCCGUAUGUUGUUACCACUUAUCGGAUUGUGGUGGCCGCGAAGGUGUUCCGGGAAAUAACUCCAACGUAUAGACCGUACCCUAAACCGACACAGGUGGACUGGUAGAGUAUACCAAGGCGCUUGAGAGAAUGGUGUUGAAGGAACUCGGCAAAUUGCCCUCGUAACUUCGGGAGAAGAGGGCCCCAUCUAUGGGCAACCAUGGGUGGGGGGCACAGAGCAGGGGGUGGCGACUGUUUAACAAAAACACAGGGCUCUGCGAAGUCUUUAAGACGACGUAUAGGGUCUGACGCCUGCCCGGUGCUGGAAGGUUAAGAGGAGGGGUGCAAGCUCUGAAUCGAAGCCCCAGUAAACGGCGGCCGUAACUAUAACGGUCCUAAGGUAGCGAAAUUCCUUGUCGGGUAAGUUCCGACCUGCACGAAUGGCGUAACGACUUCCCCACUGUCUCCAACACCAACUCAGCGAAAUUGAAUUCUCCGUGAAGAUGCGGAGUACCCGCGGUUAGACGGAAAGACCCCAUGCACCUUUACUAUAGCUUUGCAGUGGUAUUAGGGAAUGAAUGUGUAGGAUAGGUGGGAGCCUAUGAAGCGCUGGCGCCAGUCAGUGUGGAGGCAACCUUGAAAUACCACCCUUUCGUUCUCUGAUAUCUAACCGCGUCCCGUUAUCCGGGACCGGGACCCUGCAUGGUGGGUAGUUUGACUGGGGCGGUCGCCUCCCAAAGAGUAACGGAGGCGCGCGAUGGUGGGCUCAGGCUGGUCGGAAAUCAGCUGUCGAGUGCAAUGGCAUAAGCCCGCCUGACUGCGAGACUGACAAGUCGAGCAGAGACGAAAGUCGGUCAUAGUGAUCCGGUGGUCCCACGUGGACGGGCCAUCGCUCAACGGAUAAAAGGUACGCUGGGGAUAACAGGCUGAUGACUCCCAAGAGUCCAUAUCGACGGAGUCGUUUGGCACCUCGAUGUCGGCUCAUCACAUCCUGGGGCUGGAGCAGGUCCCAAGGGUAUGGCUGUUCGCCAUUUAAAGUGGUACGUGAGCUGGGUUCAGAACGUCGUGAGACAGUUCGGUCCCUAUCUGCCGUGGGUGUUGGAGUAUUGCGAGGAUUUGCCCCUAGUACGAGAGGACCGGGGUGAACGUACCUCUGGUGUACCGGUUGUCGUGCCAACGGCAUCGCCGGGUAGCUAUGUACGGUCGGGAUAACCGCUGAAAGCAUCUAAGCGGGAAACCCACCUCAAAACUAAUACUCCCUAUGAGAGCCGUGAGAGACCAUCACGUUGAUAGGCCGGGUGUGGACGUGCAGUAAUGUACGGAGCUAACCGGUACUAAUCGCUCCACUGGCUUGAUCUU
rnacentral:rRNA from 1 species